rnacentral:piRNA from 1 species
AACCAGUAGAGUGAGCUUGGAGUAUCG